UACGUAGGGGGCGAGCGUUAUCCGGAUUUACUGGGCGUAAAGCGCGUUAAGGCGGCCGACAAAGUUGGUGGUGAAAUUUCAGGGCUCAACUCUGAAACUGCCUCCAAUACUGGUCGGCUUGAGUGCGAUAGAGGAAGGUGGAAUUCCCGGUGUAGUAGUGAAAUGCGUAGAUAUCGGGAGGAACACCAGUGGCGAAGGCGGCCUUCUGGCUCGCAACUGACGCUGUAGCGCGAAAGCGUGGGGAGCGAACGGGAUUAGAUACCCCGGUAGUCCACGCCCUAAACGAUGUGCACUAGGUGUUGGGCGUAUUGACGCGCUCAGUGCCGCAGCUAACGCAUUAAGUGCACCGCCUGGGGAGUACGGUCGCAAGAUUAAA
rnacentral:rRNA from 1 species